rnacentral:rRNA from 1 species
AUACGGAGGGAGCGAGCGUUAAUCGGAAUUACUGGGCGUAAAGCGCGCGUAGGCGGCUUUGUAAGUCGGAUGUGAAAGCCCUGGGCUCAACCUGGGAAUGGCAUUCGAUACUGCAGAGCUAGAGUAUGGUAGAGGGAAGUGGAAUUUCCGGUGUAGCGGUGAAAUGCGUAGAUAUCGGAAGGAACACCAGUGGCGAGGGCGACUUCCUGGGCCAAUACUGACGCUGAGGUGCGAAAGCGUGGGGAGCAAACAGGAUUAGAUACCCCAGUAGUCC